rnacentral:rRNA from 1 species
UGAAGGUCCCCCACAUUGGAACUGAGACACGGUCCAAACUCCUACGGGAGGCAGCAGUGAGGAAUAUUGGUCAAUGGGCGCAGGCCUGAACCAGCCAAGUAGCGUGAAGGAUGACUGCCCUAUGGGUUGUAAACUUCUUUUAUAAAGGAAUAAAGUCGGGUAUGUAUACCCGUUUGCAUGUACUUUAUGAAUAAGGAUCGGCUAACUCCGUGCCAGCAGCCGCGGUAAUACGGAGGAUCCGAGCGUUAUCCGGAUUUAUUGGGUUUAAAGGGAGCGUAGAUGGAUGUUUAAGUCAGUUGUGAAAGUUUGCGGCUCAACCGUAAAAUUGCAGUUGAUACUGGAUAUCUUGAGUGCAGUUGAGGCAGGCGGAAUUCGUGGUGUAGCGGUGAAAUGCUUAGAUAUCACGAAGAA